CAGAACUCACAAGUGGCCAGGCCAGCAUUGGAAGCCAGCUCUGCCUGCCCGCACAGGCCUGGACGCCCAGCCACAACCUGGUGUCCCCUCUGCCCAGCUCUCGCCUUGGCUCUCAAGAUGGGGUCUCACUAUGUUGCCCAAGCUAGUCUCUAGCUCCUGGACUCAAGUAAUCCUCCUGCCUCAGCCUCCCAACAUGCCGGGAUUACUGGUGUGAACCAACGCAUCUGGGACACUUGAUCCUUUCGACAACCUGAUCAUUAAUGAAGAUGUGAAGUGAGACACCAAUCCUCACAGCCCCCACCACGUGCUCCCUCCCAUGCCUGGCGCUGCUGGAGUCAUUAUCCUUCCUGGUGUGACAGGGUCAGAACCAAACCAAUUUGCAUCAGUCUUUGGUGAUGUUGUGAAGCGUCGCCUGCCCUGCAAUCCUGCUGCUGUAACAACUGCUUCAGCUGUCUGUUCUGGAGUGCUCUUCGCUCCUUUGGAAGACUGAUCAGAUCUGGCCACCCCAGUUCUGGCUGAAAGCCCUAGAGCGACCGCAAUGGUAGGGCAGGAUUCAGGGCUACACAUGGCUGACAUUGUUCCUUCUUCGUUUUGCUCUUCUGAGCUGGACAGAAAGCAGUCCCUCUUUGGAAAACAGGAUGGACAAGUGCAUACAUUAGUGGAGGACGCAGCAGAUGUGGCAGGCAUAGAAUUUUACUCAUUGCUCCAUCUAUUUCUAUCAAGGAAAAUGGGGAGUGCUCCCAAUUUCCGCCCAUUUUCUAGCCCAGGCCUAGUCAGAUGUGUGGGCUUGUAUAUUCUGGGAACCUGGGGCUGAUGUGGUCAAGUCACUUCUUGGGGACAAGGUCAAUUCUUCUCCAUUUUCUCAUGUCAUUUGGUCCUGAGGGUUUUAUAUCUUCUUUAGCAAUUCCAUGACUAUGCUUCUCAUCCUGCAGGGAAACUGACUUUAUAUACACACUUGUCUCCCAAUAAAAGUGAGAACCACCUCCUACAUAUCCCUUGUGUCUUCCAGACUCCAACUCAGAUGAAAUGCACUUCCUUCUCUUUCCUGAUUGUGCAGCGCC
rnacentral:lncRNA from 1 species